ACUGUACAUAGUUAUUUUUCUUAUUUCCAGGAAGUUUCAAGGACCAACAACACAUCUCGGUAUGACAAGCUAAGACUCAACUAAACAAACUGAUGAAACACCUCUGACCUGUGGGACACACUUGUAUGUGAUGCCAUCAACAGCAACUGAUGAAACACCUCUGACCUGUGGGAGAUACUUUCUCCAUCACUGUCUAAAGUGGACCUGAAUUGAGCUGGACCUGAUGUGAACUAGACUAAAGUGGGCUGGACGUGCAAGUGAAUGAGAUCUGAAGUUAACUGGACCUAAAGGACUAGAUGGUUGGAGGAAGGCAUAAGGUCGAGCAUGACCCAACACACACACAACCAUUGCUGGUGUUGGCUGGGCAGAAGCCGUCACUUGUGCACCAAGAUGUCUUCACGUUUUAGCUCUGGUCUAUAGUCUCAAAUGUAAAGUAUGUUGAGUAUUUCUCCUAAGUUAAGAUGCAAGGUUGUAUCUGAUUGUGUGAUUCAAGGUGAUGGAAUCUCAAAGGUAUGUUGAAUAUUUCUUAUAAAUUAAGAUGUAAAAAUGUAUCUGAUUGGUGACAUAAGAUACAACAUAGGUCAAGGAUGAGUUGUCCUAAUUUAUUUAGUAUGGAUCAGGAAGCUGAUUCUAGGACUGUAGUUAGCCUGAUUAAAACUCGGGCCUUCGUUGAUGAGCGGCAACAAUUUGACAGUGAUUACAUGAGAUCAUCGGAAUCGUCUGAGUGAGGUGAAAGUGUAAACCGAUAAAGGAUUUUUAAUGCUA